rnacentral:rRNA from 1 species
GACGGAGGAUGCAAGUGUUAUCCGGAAUCACUGGGCGUAAAGCGUCUGUAGGUGGUCAAAUAAGUCAACUGUUAAAUCUUGAGGCUCAACCUCAAAACCGCAGUCGAAACUAUUAGUCUAGAGUAUAGUAGGGGUAAAGGGAAUUUCCAGUGGAGCGGUGAAAUGCGUAGAGAUUGGAAAGAACACCGAUGGCGAAGGCACUUUACUGGGCUAUUACUAACACUCAGAGACGAAAGCUAGGGUAGCAAAUGGG